GACGAACGCUGGCGGCGUGCUUAACACAUGCAAGUCGAACGGAAAGGCCCUUCGGGGUACUCGAGUGGCGAACGGGUGAGUGACACGUGGGUGAUCUGCCCUGCACUUUGUGAUAAGCCUGGGAAACUGGGUCUAAUACCGAAUAGGACCACGCGCUUCAUGGUGUGUGGUGGAAAGCUUUUGCGGUGUGGGAUGGGCCCGCGGCCUAUCAGCUUGUUGGUGGGGUAAUGGCCUACCAAGGCGACGACGGGUAGCCGGCCUGAGAGGGUGACCGGCCACACUGGGACUGAGAUACGGCCCAGACUCCUACGGGAGGCAGCAGUGGGGAAUAUUGCACAAUGGGCGCAAGCCUGAUGCAGCGACGCCGCGUGAGGGAUGACGGCCUUCGGGUUGUAAACCUCUUUCAAUAGGGACGAAGCGCAAGUGACGGUACCUAGAGAAGAAGCACCGGCCAACUACGUG
rnacentral:rRNA from 1 species